rnacentral:rRNA from 1 species
GUGGGGAAUUUUGGACAAUGGGGGCAACCCUGAUCCAGCCAUGCCGCGUGCGGGAAGAAGGCCUUCGGGUUGUAAACCGCUUUUGUCAGGGAAGAAAUCCUUUGGGUUAAUACCUCGGAGGGAUGACGGUACCUGAAGAAUAAGCACCGGCUAACUACGUGCCAGCAGCCGCGGUAAUACGUAGGGUGCGAGCGUUAAUCGGAAUUACUGGGCGUAAAGCGUGCGCAGGCGGUUUUGUAAGAUCGAUGUGAAAUCCCCGGGCUCAACCUGGGCACUGCAUUGGUGACUGCAAGGCUGGAGUGCGGCAGAGGGGGAUGGAAUUCCGCGUGUAGCAGUGAAAUGCGUAGAUAUGCGGAGGAACACCGAUGGCGAAGGCAAUCCCCUGGGCCUGCACUGACGCUCAUGCACGAAAGCGUGGGGAGCAAACAGGAUUAGAAACCCGUGUAGUCC